UUCUGACAGUCUUCAGGGGAUGCUGUCGCUACUGGGCCCGCGAGCCCAGGCAGUGACUGAUGUAGGGGCUGGCUGCUGAUCCUGUCGUGGUCAAUGAGAUGUGAGAGCCCCUUCCACUGCCAAGAAAGACAUGCCGCACUCCUCUGAAAUACUGGCACAAGAACAUCCUGCCUGGCACAUUGGCUGCCACCUACAAUUCAGAAGAUGAUGAGCGCCAUGAAAGACCAGAACACGGAGGACAGUGGAGAGGAAGCAUGGACCUGCAUGAAUUGCUAGUUGUGCUGCCUACUUCCAGAUGGCUUAAGUAAAGCACAUAUGUGUAUCAUAGUUUUAAGCCACUGCAGUUACAGUUACUUAUAGCUCAAUGCACUGUUACUCAAACAAAUACUUGGCCUUCUUUCAUAUAAAAACUCAUUCCAAACUCCAGGCAAAAAUAUCUACAACAUCCACUUCCAUAAGCUUUUGAUAUGUAAUAAUAGCCCACACUCUGAAUAAGUUCAUUUAGGCUGUCAAGUUCUCAAGUAGAUGGUGACUAUAGGAAAAAGAUGUGAUUAGCUUUAAGGUCUUAUGCAAAUAAUCACUGUUUAUUGUCUCUAGUAGAGGCAAUUUGUGAAUCACCCAGGAGGAUCCCAAAAGAAACAGAAAGAAAAGAGAAAAAAUUAUGCUAUAACUUGGGAUAGUGACCUCAAUCAAGUGUAGUAAACAAAAAAAUGUAGCAAGACUAUCCACAUAAUUUACUUAGAGGGAAUAAAUUUGAUUGGUUAACAAAGUG